rnacentral:misc_RNA from 1 species
AAAAAAAAAAAAAAAAAACAAGAAUAACAUAACCUAGAAAAAAACAAGAUUAACAUAACCUAGAAGACGAGGAAAUUUUCCUCAUGGCAGAAAAAGACAAAAAGAUGAUGCAUAUUACAACCGACAAAAGGAACUGAUAAUUCUACUAUUACAAGUCCAAGAAGAGCUUUCAUUGGGAAGGCCCAGAUAGCUAAGCACUGCCUUAUCCACAUUUAGACAAAUGAAGCCAUCAAAAGAAACAAUAGCAACAAAGAAACUUAAAAAUGCUUAGAUAAAUAAAUUUUGUGAUGCCCACCUUUCUUCAGUACUAAAAACACUUAGGAUUUUUGUUUUUAGUCCUUCAAACUGAUCCUUCUACUUGAUUAAUUGACUAAGCAGAUUAAUGCCAUCCAAUUACUACCACAAUUACACCAAAGAAAAUACACCAUGUGUAUGAAUGUAGGUGUCCUCUCCCAGAUAUCAAAUAUGAAUAUAUGACAGAUAUCAUGGCACAAAUCCAUUUUCAAAGCCACAUUUUGCACCAGCAAAAACUAUUCCGAAAAAAAUAAAAAGCUUAUCGGGCAGCGACCACUGUAGAUCCAAACAGCUAAUUACAGAACCAAGCAGAAAUCUGAUCAAAAGGGUAAAUAGGCACUACUGAAAAAUAAAGCUGAGAAGUUGCAUAAUAAUAAUUGAAAAAGCCAAUUUCACGAUAAAAGUAAUCACAACCACAAGCAAUUAAACUAUUUUAUACAUAUCCAAAGGAGCUAGCAGGAAGCAAAAUAAAGAAAUAUCAACCAGAGCAUUGAUAGAAGACAAGCCACAGACCCAUUUUAUCAAAACAGCAUCAGAUAUCAGAAGAACAUGCAAAUCUGUUAACAUGCGCAUGAUUCAGGCAAAUCCUAUAAGCUAUAUCACAACAAUCAAACAGCGUUUUUGUGAGAUAUCAGAAUUACGUGAUGUAGAUACACAUCUGCAGACAUAUAACCACCAAAAACGCAGAUACAACUAGUAGAAGCAAUGAAAUCAGCACAUAAAUUAAGGGCCGGGCAAAUGAAGAAUAACAAAUAAACAUAUCAAGAAUCUACAAGGGUAAAUAUAAGUGAUCUAAAGGGAGAGAUCAAUCCAAAAAAAAUUUCCAACUAGAACAAGAAAUAUAACUGGUAAAAAGCAUUAAAUAAGGCAUUGCAAGUAUAUACCAAAUGGGUGCAAAGAAUAACUU